rnacentral:rRNA from 1 species
UCCCUUCUCCCGGUAACAGGAUAGCUUGCUAUCGCUGACGAGUGGCGGACGGGUGAGUAAUACUUAGGGAUCUGCCUCUGUGUGGGGGAUAACUAUUGGAAACGAUAGCUAAUACCGCAUAAUGUCUACGGACCAAAGCGGGCUUCGGCUCGUGCGCAGAGAGGAACCUAAGCGAGAUUAGCUAGUUGGUGAGGUAAAGGCUCACCAAGGCGACGAUCUCUAGCUGUUCUGAGAGGAAGAUC